rnacentral:lncRNA from 1 species
UAUAUCUCUCUUCUUCCUUCCUAUUAUGAUAUCGACAUUGUCACUAGCAAUUGCAAUCUUAGGCAAGAGAUCCGUAUUCUGCACUCAUGAAAGAUCUUUCCAACAAGUAGUAUCAAAGUCAGAUUGUCUGAAUUGCGACAGUAUUGAUCGAGAUUGAAGAAGAUGGAGAAGAUAGGCUCAAUCAAGAUAGAGAUCUAUCGGUA